rnacentral:rRNA from 1 species
UACAGAGGGUGCUAGCGUUGUUCGGAAUCAUUGGGCGUAAAGGGCGUGUAGGCGGUUUGUUAAGUCAUGUGUGAAAUCCCUCGGCUCAACCGGGGAACGACGCAUGAAACUGGCAAGCUAGAGUACCAAAGAGGGGGGUGGAAUUCCCGGUGUAGCGGUGGAAAUGCGCAGAUAUCAGGAAGAACACCCGUGGCGAAGGCGGUUCUCUGGGACGGUACUGACGCUGAGACGCGAAAGCGUGGGGAGCGAACAGG